rnacentral:rRNA from 1 species
CCAAUAGCGUAUAUUAAAGUUGUUGCAGUUAAAAAGCUCGUAGUUGAACUUCGGGGUCUACCCAUUGGUCAGGCUUAAUUGUCUGCACUGGUGAGAUGGAUCUCUACCUUCUGAGGAACUUUCAUGCCAUUUAUUUGGUGUGAUGGGAAAUCAGGACUGUUACUUUGAAAAAAUUAGAGUGUUUAAAGCAGACUAUCGUCUGAAUACAUUAGCAUGGAAUAAUGAAAUAGGACGGACUGAUUCUAUUUCGUUGGUUUCUAGGAUCACCGUAAUGAUUAAUAGGGAUAGUUGGGGGCAUUAGUAUUCAAUUGUCAGAGGUGAAAUUCUUGGAUUUAUUGAAGACUAACUACUGCGAAAGCAUUUGCCAAGGAUGUUUUCAUUAAUCAAGAACGAAAGUUAGGGGAUCGAAGACGAUCAGAUACCGUCGUAGUCUUAACCAUAAACUAUGCCGACUAGGGAUCGGACGAAGUUAAUCUUAUAAUGACGCGUUCGGCACCUUACG